rnacentral:lncRNA from 1 species
AAAGUCCGAAUUUUCCAGUUUAUAUGUUUAUAACCAAUCCUAAGUCUUCUAAACACUUUUUCUCAAGUAUAAUUUCACCACAAAUUAUUAACCUACAUACCUGAGUAAACGAGCAUCACGAGCGAGUCUUUAUCUCCGAAAUCUUGUAAUCUUGGUUUCAAUUCUUCAUCUUCAACUCUUGAAGACUCCAAUCGACUUCACGAAAUCCACGGACUUAGACAAAUCCUUAACAAUCGCCACCUUUGGCGAUUUCGUGACAAAACUAAACGGUCAAACAAACUCAAAACAGAAAAACGGAAG